UACGUAGGGUGCGAGCGUUGUCCGGAAUUAUUGGGCGUAAAGAGCGUGUAGGCGGCCGUACAGGUCAGCCGUGAAAACUCGAGGCUCAACCUCGAGACGUCGGUUGAAACCGUACGGCUAGAGUCCGGAAGAGGAGAGUGGAAUUCCGAGUGUAGAGGUGAAAUUCGUAGAUAUUCGGAAGAACACCAGUGGCGAAGGCGGCUCACUGGACCGGUAUUGACGCUGAGGUGCGAAAGCGUGGGGAGCAAACAGG
rnacentral:rRNA from 1 species